GUCAGGGAAGAAGGCGUUUUUGGGUGCUGCAUCCUAGGAGGUGGGAGAUCUUUCUCAAAUCCAUCUUCUCAACUGGCUAAAAUUAGGGGUUUGUAUCUCAGGAAAGAUAUGUAACUAUAUGUGGGAAAAUAGGAAUUAGAGAGGGGUAUGGAAGAGGAAUUGGUAAACAGGAAUUAGGGAAAAGAAAGGAAGAGGAGUUGGAAAACAUGAAUCAUGAUGUAUGAGGGGUCUGACAGAUCAUUGUCUGGAUGCAGUGAUUUGGCAUCAGAAGGGUUGGCGAGAAAUUUCAGAAGUCUGGACAUGAAAUAUGAGUCUUAGGAAAGUAAAUACAUCCGCCGAAAUGUGCAGCCAAAGCGGAGGAUUUAAGUCUACACAGUGUUUUCUUCUAAGUACAACACUUAGAGGUAAGUUUUAUUAUAAUGCACUGAAUCUAUUGAGCAUUCAAAUCAGCUGAUAGCAUUUUUAAAUCACAGUUAUUUUGGCAUUUCUUAUUGAAAGCAAUAGAAGAGCAUCCAGAAGUAAUAAAUUUGUUUGUGAAAAGCAGCCUCGCUCGUGGUGGUUGUACAUUGUUGUAACUAGGACAAAAUUAUGCAAUAAAUUUACAGAUGUAUUGCCUUUAUUGUUAGCAAUGGCCAGCUUUUCCCUGUUUAUUUUAAGCAUGUUUACACAUAGAAUUACUUAUGUUUUAAUCAUCACUGCAUGGGCAUAUACUUUAACCAAACUAUUUCUACUACAAGACAAAGCUCAGGCUAUUUUAAUGGAUGACAUGCCUUCCCAAACCUUGGAUUUGCAGCAGGUACUUAGAUCAAAAAUGUUUUGACAUAUUCCAGGAAAUCAUUAGUUUUAAAUGCAUAAUUCUGUCUGAAUAACUCUCUCAAUUGCUCUCUACUCCCUAAGUGUACGUGGUGAAUGGCAGGGAAGAGGUGUCUCAGUUACUCCUGACAAAGUAGAUUGGACAAUUAUUUAAAAUAUGUAUUUUUUAUUUAUUAGGAGUGGAUGGGAAGCUCAUUCUAAGGUGUCCUUAGUCUCCAGUUUAAUAAGUUUGACUAUCACAUCUAUAAUCUUCUUUCUGUUCAGGAGGCAUUUAAUUCCCUACCUUCUCACUCAAUGCUGGGAUAGCUAAGUAAUUAUACUUUAUUUGCUCUGCAAUUUGAGUAAACCAUGUGGAAUUUUCCUUCCUCUAUAUUUAAAACAUGGAACAAAUUUGAAGAUUUAGUAUGAAACAAAAGAAGAAAUCUGUUUCUAAGGGGAUAAAACAAGAAUACAAGUUUCACAUAUUUUUAGUUACAGGAAAGAGUGAGUAUUUGGGCAGUUUAGCACUGUGUUUCUACAAGGGAAAAGAAAAAAAAAAUAAAGUGAACAGAUGCCUGAAUUCAUAGGAGCCCUUGUGGCUUGCAUAGUUGAGGCCAGCCCUAUUUUAUAGUGAUUUAAUUCCGGAAGUGAGGACAUUAUAGAAUGCAGCCAGGGGACAGAGCUUUCAAGAUAGACUGGAAUCAUUUCCUUGAUUGAAAUUUAAAAGUUCUUCUCUCUUUCCACUCCUCAACUUUCAUCUCUGUAUCUUUUUCCUCUCCAGGAUGCAGCAACAUUGGUAACAACUUAAGCAAGUGACAGAAUGGUAGCUCAGUGUGAGCAAAAAAUAAAUGGGAGUCCAGAGGGGAAAACAUUUCCCUAACUGGGUACUCCAAUCUUUCAUUGCUGGCUUGAGAAAUAAUCUUUGAUUGCAUCUCCAAGGCUACAGAAGUCGCAAACUGUGCCGUUCUGCUGCCUGGUAAUCAGCCAAGAGUGAUUAACCUGGAUUAUCACACCUCUUCAUCAAGAACUGUGGUCCUGUCCUCAGCUUUCUCUACUCAACUCCCAACCUAAGUCAUCUUUAGUGUCUCCAUCUUCAUUGGUGGUUUUAUUACCCCAUCCUGCCACUCAAGAUGGAAGCCUUAAGAAUCUUGCUUUGUGCCCACCUCUUGCUCACUCCACCCUACCUGCAUAUUUCAUAUCCUAUUGAUUCUGCUUCCUAAACAUUCUGGAAAAUGUUUCAGUUUCUCGAUGUUGCCCCCUCUUUCUCUCUAAACCUCCAUACACAUUGUUUCCUCCCCUUGGAGCCACCACUUCAUCCCUGUACCCUAUGCCUCCUACACACCUCCCCACACAAGCUCCUCACACCCUUUCACAUUCAGGCAACCCUUCUCUUCCUUCAGACCCAAGUUUAAGAUGACUGUCACUCCAGGAAGUGCAGAGGUUAAGAUGGGAGGUAGACUAACUGGCUCCACAGUUUGCACCUUCACUUACUAGUUAUGUGUCCUGUAACACAGCUUUGACAUCUCUUUGCUUUAAUUUCCUUCUGUUCAAAAUGGGGAUAAUAAGAACAGCAACAUUAAUGAAUUGUUAUGAAUGUUAAUGAGCCUGUUCCUUCCUACUCAAUAAGUGAUCCCCAGAACAGUACCAGUCGUACCAGCUGGAAGCUUAUGGAGAUGCAGAAUGAUGGAUCUACCCCUGUAUUUGCUGUACCUGAAUCUGCAUUUAAACAAGAUUCUCAGGUGAUACAUACACAUGUUAAAGUUAAUUUUUUUUUGUUUUUUUUUUUAGUAGAGUUGG
rnacentral:lncRNA from 10 species